rnacentral:rRNA from 1 species
UACGUAGGGGGCAAGCGUUGUCCGGAUUUAUUGGGCGUAAAGAGCGUGUAGGCGGCCAGACAGGUCCGUUGUGAAAACUCGAGGCUCAACCUCGAGACGCCGAUGGAAACCAUCUGGCUAGAGUCCGGAAGAGGAGAGUGGAAUUCCUGGUGUAGCGGUGAAAUGCGCAGAUAUCAGGAAGAACACCCGUGGCUAAGGCGGCUCUCUAGUACGGUACUGACGCUGAGACGCGAAAGCGUGGGGAGCGAACAGG